CGAUGGCAUAUAUCACAUUGGGAGAUGUGCAGGCUGCAGGAUGUCGUCCAUAUUUUGCUCCAGCUCAUCCUAUCCUCCCAUGGGACAGGGAAGGGAAACGGCUGCGGAGGAGCCAGUUCAGAGUUUCCAGUUUCCAAACCUAAUGUCAUUUUGCAGCUGGAACGAGGGGAAGAGCCGUGGGUCCCAGAUCUCCAAGUCUUUGAGAAAGAAGUGCUCCCGAGAGCUGCCUACACAGGCGCAGGGAGUGAUCUGUGUCUGGAUUCUCUCUGUCUCCCAUCAGGUGAUGGGAUGGUGAGUGAUAACGAGGAGGAGAAACCUCAGCAGGAAGAUGCUGAGCAAGUAGAAGCACAUGGGACAUUAUCAGGAAGAUCCAAAGGGAAUGUUUCCGGGAUUUGUGCACGCCUAGAAAAAGCAAAAGCCUGUGAGACUGAGCAGAGGCCAGAGGAAAACUUCAGUAGCUUCUCAGACCAUAUUUCAAGUGAGAGAAUCAAUUCGGAAGACACACGUUACACAUGCCAUGAGUGCGGGAAAUGCUUCAAUUGGAGUUCAUACCUUAUCAGACAUCAGAUAAUCCACACAGGAGAGACUCCCCACACAUGCUCUGUGUGUGGGAAAAGCUUCAACCAGCGCUCAAACCUUAUCACACAUUGGAGAAUCCACAUGAGGGAGAAGCCCUACACGUGCACUGAGUGUGGGAAAGGCUUUAGUGAGCACUCAAACCUUAUCACACAUCGGAGAAUCCACACAAGGGAGAAGCCCUACACGUGCACUGAGUGUGGGAAAAGCUUCAAACAGCGCUCACAUCUUAUCACACAUCAGAGAAUCCACACCGGAGAGAUGCCUUAUAGGUGCACUGAGUGCGGAAAAAUCUUCAAACAAAGCUCAAACCUUAUCACACAUCGGAGAAUCCACACAGGAGAGACGCCCUACACAUGCUCUGAGUGCGGGAAAGGCUUCAAUCAGCGCUCAAACCUUAUCACACAUCAGAGAAUCCACACGGGCAAGACGCCCUACACGUGCUCUGAGUGCGGGAAAAGCUUCAAACAGCGCUCAGACCUUACCACACAUUGGAGAAUCCACACAGGAGAGACUCCCUACACAUGUUCUGAGUGUGGGAAAGGCUUUAGUGAGUACUCAAAUCUUAUCAGACAUCGGAGAAUCCACACGAGGGAGAAGCCCUACACUUGCACUGAGUGUGGGAAAAGUUUCAAACAACGCUCACACCUUAUCACACAUCAGAGAAUCCACACAGGAGAGACGCCUUUCACAUGUUCUGAGUGUGGGAGAAGCUUCAAUCAGCGCUCAAAUCUUAUCACACAUUGGAGAAUCCACACAAGAGAGAAGCCCCUACACAUGCUCUGAGUGAGGGAAAAGCUUCAAUCAGCUCUCACACCUUAUCAAACAUCAGAGAAUCAACAUAGGAUGCGGAAUACUGUCCAUGUUUCGCUCCAGUUCAUCCCGUCCUCUCGUUGGACAGGGAAGAGAAAUGGCUGCAGAGGAGCCAGUUCAGGAUCAUGUGCAGAACAUGGAAGAUCUGGCUUUCCCUAAAUGCCGUAGAGUGUGAGUUCCUGGGCAAGGACAGGGGAGAGGGAGCAAGAGGAGAAAGGCAGAGACAUUGGAGAAGAGACAGAACACAGAGAGACAAUAAAUGAUUGAAGCAGAACAGUCUCCCAACUUGAUCCUGCUCAUCACAGGUGUUCACAGACACAGGUAGUUGCAGGUUUUCCAGUAUCAAGUCUGAAUUUUGAUUCUAACAAUUUGAGUUCAAAUAUCAAGGGGAUUUCCACAGACCUGAUCUCGUCCCCCUCCCCUUUUUAGUAUUAAUUUUUAUUUUGAAGUGUUUGGCUUAACCGUGAUCUUCUCUUUCCCCAUCUGUAUUACAACUUGGGGUUUAUGUUUAUUUUGCCUCCCUUUUGUUUGUAACAGCAAAGGAAUCUGCAGGAGCAAAAACUGCCUCUCAACUUUAUUUCCCCAUCAUGCAGGAACAUCAUACAAACAGCUCACACAGCUGGAAUCAUAACACAGAAGGCCAGGGGAUGGGAGAUGCAGGUUUCCAAGUGUUCUGUCUUUCUCAGAUGACACAUUCCAGCCCCUUGUAUGCCUCCAUCCUGUAGGACCUGCUGGAUUUUGACACAUUUAUUAUCUCAUUCUAUUGAUAACGUGAUUGUAACACAAUAUGAGUGAAAUUAAACCACUUCUAGACAAGGAAAUAACAGAAGAGAGACGCCAUUAUUGCAUUGGCUGGGAAUCCAACCCAGCUCAACUGCUUGGAAGGCAGCUAUGCACAACACUAUACCACCAACACAUCUGGCAGGAGGAGCUUUCCUGCAGGCUCUGUGUGCUGGCAAGGGGGUGACAUAUCACCAUAGAGUUAAUGAGCAGGGUGGAUGGGCUGGAAGCUCCCUGACAGCUGGGAGCAGAGUUAGGAUCCCAGAGUGACUGAAAGAGGGCAAAGGUGAAAACAGAUCUCAUUGGGAGCUGGUCCCCGCGCCCCCAGGAGAGGGGAACUGAAGCUCAACUUCACUCAUAGAAAAAUCUUCCCUCAGAAGGAAGCAGACAGCUUGUUUUAAAGACAAGGCUUGUGUUUGUUCCUGCUACAUACGGAGGGGCUGGGUAGUGCUGAUUCCAGGCCCCCGACUCUGGGAGGAUAAGGAACAAAUUCAGGCUGCCAGUGACCUGCAGGAGGGAGAUGAUCUUUUGACAGUGACAGAUGCCUCGUCCUAAAGGCCUUUGUCUACCCCCUUCCAGUGACUAUUUGGUACAGGAAUGCAGCCACCACUCCUGGGUCUCUCCUGGGGAAAUAAUGAUUCUGUGCAAAACACCAAAGCUUUUAACAGAAAGGAAGAAAAGGAAAUGGCAACACGAUGGGACUAGCAUGUAAGGAAUGAAACACAAGAUGCUUCUCCCAUGUGCAUUGACUUUUAACCUUGGUUGUAGUGUUGUUGUAUCCCUGUUGGUCCCAGGGGUCCUCUGGGGCACCUGACAUUGGUCAUUUUCAGAAGACUGGACAGUGGGCUAGAUGAACUGCUCUGACUCAGUAUGGUUGUUCUUAUGUUCUAACUGCUGUUUAUGAAAGAGAUGGCCUUUCAGGCUACACAGAACUGAAGCAGGGUGCUGGGUUAGCUCCAAAGCUUGUCUCUUUCACCAACAGAGGUUGGUCCUCUACAAGCUCUUACCCCCCCCCCCCUUGUCUCUCUUGGCCUCUGAAAAGUGUUUUCUCUCCACUCCCUUUGCAGAGAAGUUAAGUUUCCCUUUGGGCAACUGUCAGGCUGAAGCAGUUGUAUUGACUGUGACACUAGAAUGGAAGCUUUAUUAUAAUAAAUAAAUGAGUCUAAA